rnacentral:rRNA from 1 species
AUAAAUAACUAUGUAAAAGUAUAAUAUAAUAUGGACAUUUAGGUGUAAGUAGUUAAAGUGAUUGUUAGGGAUGCCUAGCGUACAUUCAGAUAAAGGAGGUGAAAACACCAAAAGCUAGUAUCAUAAGAUAGUAUUAGCAAUCCUAAGGUAAACCGAGUAUAUACUACGCAGUGAACUGAAACAUCUAAGUAACUGUAGGAAAGGAAAUCAACCGAGACUCCAUUAGUAGUGGCGAGCGAACAUGGAUUAGCCUAUACACUCAUAUUAUCAUAGAAUAUCUUGGAACAGAUAAUCCGGAGAAGGUGAUAGCCCUGUAUAUGAUAGAUGAGUGGUAUUAAUUAAGUAGUGUGGGAGAUAACCUGCAUGAAUAUUGGGAGACCAUUCUCAAAGGCUAAGUAUGAAUGUACUGCGAUAGUGAAGAGUACCGUGAGGGAAAGGUGAAAAGAAAGUCGAUGACUAGUGAAAUAGAUCCUGAACUAGCAAUCAUAUAAGCAAUGAGAGCAUGACUAGAUUUAGUGUGUGAUCAUGUACCUUUUGUAUAAUGGGUUAGCAAGUUAAUAUAAGUAGUAAGGCUAAUAACCCCAGCGAAAGCGACUGAUUAGUAUUUACUAAUGCGGGAUAAUUACUUAUAUUAGACCCGAAACACGGUGAUCUACCCUUGACCAGAUUAAUUAAAUAGAUCGAACGGAUCAAUGUUGCAGUAUUGUCCGAUGAGUUGAGGGUUGUAGGUGAAAGGCCAAUCUGACCGUGAGAUAGCUGGUACUCCAUUAAAAGUAUUUAGGUACUGCCCUCUUUAAAAGAUUUACGCGGGUACAGCACUGAUUACCAUGUCUGAUUGUGAUUACACUCUUGGAUUCAAUUGGGGGAUUGAGAGAUUCUACCAUUGGUAGUUAACCUCGGAAUAACGUAAAUUGUUUUAGAGGAGACAGACUAUUCAUGAUAAGGUGGAUAGUCAAGACGGAAACAGCCGUAAGCAUAGAUGAAGGUCCCAAAGUAGUGAUUAAGUGAAAGUAAGGAAGUCGUGACUCGCAUACAGCUAUAAGAUGAGCUUGGAAGUAGCUACUCUUUAAUAAUAGUGUAACAACUUAGUAGUCUAAUGAGUCGUGGCGCCGAAGAUUAACGGGUCUUAGAUCACUCACCGAUACUAUGCCGUCCGGGAUCCCCUCAAAAGGAACUGGAUUGGGUAAUGGAGCAUCCGGCAUGGUUGAAGGAUAGUGUUUCAUUGUCUGGACAUAGCCGGAGAGAGAAUGCUUACAUGAGUAACGUAGAAAGUCGAUAUAAUUCGACUCGCCGAAUGAGAGAGGGUUUCAUAGAAAUGUUCGACAGCUAUGAGUUAUAACGGCCUCUAAGGUCUUUGGCUAAUGCUACUGACUGAUGAGUUUACAGUAGAAAGUCUUAUUUUAAUAAGGCCAAGAAGAUAAUACUGUUACAUCCAUAUUGGAUAUUACCGUACCCUAAACCGACACAGGUUCUCAGGUAGAGUAUACUAAGGCGAUGAGAUAAUACAAUAUAAGGAACUCGGCAAAUUACAUCCGUACACUCGAUAAGAAGGAUGACCAUGGUUACAUGUUAACUAUGGUGGCACACAAUCGAGAGGCAUGACUGUUUACCAAAAACACAGGCAUCUGCUAUAUUACACAAUGUUGUAUAGGUGCUGAAUCUUGUCCAAUGCCAUGAUGAUAACAUGGGUGAAUUCAAAAUCACUUAUGGAAUAUCUGGUGAAUGAUAGUCUUAACUAUAAGGAUUCUAAGGUAGCAGCGAAAUUCCUUGGCCACUAAUUAUGGUCCUGCAUGAAUAGAGUAACAAUGCCUCUGCUGUCUCAUAUUGUAUCUCAGUGAAAUUGAAUUAGCCGUGAAGAUGCGGUUUACGUGCGGGUAGACGAGAAGACCCUAUGCAGCUUUACUAUAACCAGUUAUCGAUCUAAACCUCGUCAGGUGUAGAGUACAAGGGAGUCGUUAGACGUCAAUGAAACACCUUGACUGAUGAAGGAAUGGAUCUUAUCUGAAAAAGAGACAAUGACUGGCGGGUAGUUUAACUGGGACGGUUUCCUCCAAUAAAGUAUCGGAGGACUUCAAAGGUAUGCUUAAAUUAGAUGGAAACUAAUUCGCUAUGUAGAGCGAAAUCAAGUGUAAAGGCAUAAGCAUGCUUAACUGUAAGACCGAUAGGUCAAACAGAUACGUAAGUAGGACUUAGUGAUCCGGUGGUUUGGUAUGGAACGGCCAUCGCUCAAGAAAUAAAAGUUACGCUAGGGAUAACAGGGUAAUAGCGCGCGAGAGUUCACAUUGUCCGCGCUGUUUGCCACCUCGAUGUCGACUCAUCUUAUCCUCUUGGUGCACAAGCUAAGAAGGGUUCUGCUGUUCGCAGAUUAAAAAGGUACGUGAGUUGGGUUCAAUACGACGUGAGUCAGUAUGGUUUCUAUCUUCCGCACGGAAAAAUAAUCAACACUAGAUGGAUCUUUAGUACGAAAGGACUUAGAUCUGUGUUCCUCUGGUGUACCAAUUGUUGGAUUACAAUCUGGCAUCGUUGGGUAGCUACGAACAUCAAGGAUAAACGCUGAAAGCAUCUAAGCGAUUGAAGCCUACUAGUAGAGAUAAUAUAAGGCUAGAGAUAGACUAUCUCUUGAUAGGUCACAUGUGUAAUCAUCGUAAGAUGUGUCAGCUAAGUGAUACUAAUUAGCCAAUAGACUUACACCUACCA